rnacentral:rRNA from 1 species
CUGCACUUACAAGCUGUGGAAGCACAUUUCUUGUGUGACCGCGUACUUUUUGUAGAACGGGCCAACGAGUUACGUUAAGUAGCAAGGUUAAGCACUUAAGGUGCGGAGCCGUAGCGAAAGCGAGUUUUAACUGAGCGUUCAGUUACUUGACGUAGACCCGAAACCGGGCGACCUACCCAUGAGCAGGAUGAAGCGAAAGUAAAAUUUCGUGGAGGUCCGAACCCACGAGCGUUGAAAAGCUCGGGGAUGACUUGUGGGUAGCGGUGAAAUUCCAAUCGAGCCCGGAGAUAGCUGGUUCUCCCCGAAAUAGCUUUAGGGCUAGCCUCAAGGUGAGAGAUACGGAGGUAGAGCACUGAAUGUCCUAGGGGGUAUUGCACCUACCGAAGACUAUCAAACUCCGAAUGCCGUCAUCUUAUACUUGGGAGUCAGACUGUGGGUGAUAAGAUUCAUAGUCGAAAGGGCAACAGCCCAGAUCGUCAGCUAAGGUCCCUAAAUGUAAGUUAAGUGGUAAAGGAUGUGGGAUUGCACAGACAACCAGGAUGUUGGCUUAGAAGCAGCCACUCAUUCAAAGAGUGCGUAAUAGCUCACUGGUCGAGUGAUCCUGCGCCGAAGAUUUCCGGGGCUAAAACUUACUACCGAAGCUACGGCAUCAGUAAUGAUGGGUAGGGGAGCUUCCCAUACGGGUUGAAGCAUGACCGUAAGGACAUGUGGACAGUAUGGGAGUGAGAAUGUUGGCAUGAGUAGCGAGAUGUGGGUGAGAAUCCCACAGGCCGUAAACCCAAGGUUUCCAGGGGAAGGUUCGUCCGCCCUGGGUUAGUCGGGACCUAAGCUGAGGCCGAAAGGCGUAGGUGAUGGACAACAGGUUGAUAUUCCUGUACUACCGAUAACCGUUUGAGAGAAGGGAUGACACAGUAGGAUAAGCUAAGCACACUGUUGGUUAUGUGUGCCCAAGCAUUGAGGCAGUCAAAGUAGGCAAAUCCGCUUUGAUAAUGCUGGGAUGUGAUGGGGAGCGAAAUUUAGUAGCGAA